GACGAACGCUGGCGGCGUGCUUAACACAUGCAAGUCGAACGGAAAGGCCCUGCUUUUGUGGGGUGCUCGAGUGGCGAACGGGUGAGUAACACGUGAGUAACCUGCCCUUGACUUUGGGAUAACUUCAGGAAACUGGGGCUAAUACCGGAUAGGAGCUCCUGCUGCAUGGUGGGGGUUGGAAAGUUUCGGCGGUUGGGGAUGGACUCGCGGCUUAUCAGCUUGUUGGUGGGGUAGUGGCUUACCAAGGCUUUGACGGGUAGCCGGCCUGAGAGGGUGACCGGCCACAUUGGGACUGAGAUACGGCCCGAACUCCUACGGGAGGCAGCAGUGGGGAAUAUUGCACAAUGGGCGGAAGCGUGAUGCAGCAACGACGCGUGCAGGAUAACGGCCUUCGGGUUGUAAACCGCUUUCUCCUGUGACGAAGCGUGAGUGACGGUAAUGUGUAAAGAAGCACCGGCUAACUACGUG
rnacentral:rRNA from 1 species